GAACAAAUGAAAAUAUUUUCUAGUCCUUAAGUUGAUUUUGGAAAUGCAAAGCCUUUAAAGGGAGACAGGCACACUGAUAGUUUAAUCAAGUAGCUGUUUGCUUGCUAUUAUUUACUUGGCCAAAAAAAAAAAACUUUAAAAAUAGCUUUUCCUUUUGGUUCGUUCAGUCUUCCUUGCCCCCUUACCUAAAGCAAAAAAUAGAUCAGAAACAUAAAAAUUUCAAUAUGGCGGAGGGGGGCACAGGACCGCAGGCAGGGGUCCUGGAGCCAGAGGGCCAAUUCCUAUCCCCUCAGCAGCAUGGCAUCGUGUGCUGAACCCUCUGAGCCCUCUGCCCCCGCCUCCUGCCAGGGUCCCACUGCUCGAGGACUUCGAGGUGCUGGAUGGGGUCGAGAAUGCAGAGGGCAAGGAGGGAGAGGAGGAGGAAGAUGACCUUAGAGAGCUGCCACUGCUGGAGGACAUGGGACAGCCCCUGGUGGAAGAGACUGAACGGCCCGGGACCUUGGCCCGAGAGUUCCUCACUGCCAUGGAGCCUGAGCCUGCCCCGUCCCCGGCCCCAGAAGAGUGGCCAGACAUAACCAGCUGUUGAGGAAGAAGACGCUUGUCCCAGGGCCACCGGGUUUGAGCUGCCCAGUCAAAGGCCAGGUGGUCACCAUGCAUUUGCAGACAUCACGAGAGAAUGGCAUGUGGGUGCAGGAGGAGCCGGAGCUAGUGUUCACCCUGAGCGUCUGUGAGGUCAUCCAGGCCCUGGAUCUCAGUGUCUAACUCAUGGACGUGGGGGAGGCAGCCAUGGUCACUGCUGACUGCAUGUACUGCUACAGCCCCCAGGACAGGAGCCCAUACAUCCCCUGCACGCGGCCCUAUGCCUGGAGGUGACCCCGAAGAUGGCCGUGGACUGGCCUGACCUGGAGAUGCUCAUAGGGCAGGAGCGCGUGGCCUUGGCCAACCGGAAGUGGGAGUGCGGCAGUGCCCACUACCAGUGGGCGGACUUCGUCCUGGCCACCAACUCCUAUGACCUUGCCAUCAAGACCGUCACCUCCAGCGCCAAAGUGGACAUGACGUUCGAGGAGGAGAAGCAGCUCCUGCAGUUGAGGGUGAGGUGUCUGAACAACCUGGUGUCCUCACAGGUGAAGCUCGACCACUACUGUGCAGCCCUGCGCUCCUGCAACCUCGUUGGAGCACCAUCUGGACAACAUCAAGGCUGUCUUCCACAAGGGCAAGAUACUGCCCCAGCAGGGUGAGUACAGUGAGGCCAUCCCUAUCCUGAGGGCGGUCCUGAAGCUGGAACCUUCCAACAAGACUAUCCACGCAGAGCUCUCGAAGCUGGUGAAGAAGCACGCAGCACAGCGGAGCAUGGAGACCGCUCUGUACUAGAAAAUGCUGGGCAACCCCAGCCGUGCCCCAGCAAGGGUGCCUGGUCCAGCCCAUGGAAGUGGCUGUUUGGGGCGACUGCUGUUGCUUUGGAGGGUGUGGCACUUUCUGUGGUAAUUCCUGCCAGGAACUGACCGCCCAGGUGGCCACACCCCGUCUGCACACCAUGGACCCUGCCCUGCGCUCCCUAACUCCCCCAGGCUCCCUGUCCACUGCCCUCCCUGGUCCAGCUGCCUCCUCCGAGUUGGAGGCAGCAAGGAUUGGGGGUCGUGCAGCCCAGCCAGUAGGAGGGACUGAGGCCCUCUAGGAGGAGUGCUUAGAGCAAGGGGGCCCUCAUUCCUUCAGACCCAGUUUCCCCCCAACUCCCCUUCUCCCGCUGGGCUAGGUCUCCGCUGGGGCUGGCCUCAACUUCUCCUCAACAGGCUUGGGGGCAGCCCCUGCUGCCUUGCCUGCCCCACGCUGUCUAGGCUGCUUUCCCGCCACAGUGAAAUAAAGCCUCCUACCCUGCAAAAAAAAAAAAAAAAAAAAAAAAAAUUCAGUAUGGCCUAAGAGGUUCUCUGGGCUUUGAAUCCAAAUUAAGCUCAGGCAAAUUAGUACUUGGAAAAAUAAUUUUUAACUUGUCAUUCAUUCAUUAAUAUGGUUAGGCUAACUUCACAAAUAGUUUGUAUAUUCAUUCAAGAUUAGUAAAUUUUUAUUUUCUUCACUCUUUAGUUCCAGAUUUUAUAGGACUCUCUUAGUGCUUUUCUCUGGGGUCACAUCUUCCUUUUAAUCACAGUCCUCUUGCUUUAUACCUCUGGAGACUACUCAAAGAGAUGAGGCAUAUUGGUUGGAUUAACUCUGCAGCAUACUAUUGUACAUAUUCCUAAGGAAGCUGUAUUUCAAGGAAAAGAUGUACUGGGGACUACUGGGGACUACAUAAAUCUUAUUUCAUCAAGAAUAUUAGAGUGGAGCUUUCUGUUUGUGGCUUUUCAAAGGCUCUCCUCCUCUCUUGGCAGAGGUGCUGCUUUGUGUAAUUUGUGCUGCUGUUUUCUUUAUUUGCUCAUCCUUACUUUCCCAUGAGAAUUAUUUCCCUUCAUACUGUUUUUUAAUGGAAGAAAGUUAGGAGUAAGCUUUUGAAAGCUAACCUUUUGUAAAUACCUCUCAAAAUAGAAUUAGUGUUGGAUCCAGAAAUAAGAUUAUAUAGGUAUAUUAAGUUCUGCUUUUUUACUCAAAAUGUUUUACAGUGUGCCAGUAUUGUACUUUUCUUGUGCUUUACUUCUUUUUAUU